GAUGAACGCUGGCGGCGUGCCUAAUACAUGCAAGUCGAGCGAACAGACGAGGAGCUUGCUCCUUUGACGUUAGCGGCGGACGGGUGAGUAACACGUGGGUAACCUACCUAUAAGACUGGGAUAACUUCGGGAAACCGGAGCUAAUACCGGAUAAUAUUUCGAACCGCAUGGUUCGAUAGUGAAAGAUGGCUUUGCUAUCACUUAUAGAUGGACCUGCGCCGUAUUAGCUAGUUGGUAAGGUAACGGCUUACCAAGGCAACGAUACGUAGCCGACCUGAGAGGGUGAUCGGCCACACUGGAACUGAGACACGGUCCAGACUCCUACGGGAGGCAGCAGUAGGGAAUCUUCCGCAAUGGGCGAAAGCCUGACGGAGCAACGCCGCGUGAGUGAUGAAGGUCUUCGGAUCGUAAAACUCUGUUAUUAGGGAAGAACAAACGUGUAAGUAACUGUGCACAUCUUGACGGUACCUAAUCAGAAAGCCACGGCUAACUACGUGCCAGCAGCCGCGGUAAUACGUAGGUGGCAAGCGUUAUCCGGAAUUAUUGGGCGUAAAGCGCGCGUAGGCGGUUUUUUAAGUCUGAUGUGAAAGCCCACGGCUCAACCGUGGAGGGUCAUUGGAAACUGGAAAACUUGAGUGCAGAAGAGGAAAGUGGAAUUCCAUGUGUAGCGGUGAAAUGCGCAGAGAUAUGGAGGAACACCAGUGGCGAAGGCGACUUUCUGGUCUGUAACUGACGCUGAUGUGCGAAAGCGUGGGGAUCAAACAGGAUUAGAUACCCUGGUAGUCCACGCCGUAAACGAUGAGUGCUAAGUGUUAGGGGGUUUCCGCCCCUUAGUGCUGCAGCUAACGCAUUAAGCACUCCGCCUGGGGAGUACGACCGCAAGGUUGAAACUCAAAGGAAUUGACGGGGACCCGCACAAGCGGUGGAGCAUGUGGUUUAAUUCGAAGCAACGCGAAGAACCUUACCAAAUCUUGACAUCCUUUGACCCUUCUAGAGAUAGAAGUUUCCCCUUCGGGGGACAAAGUGACAGGUGGUGCAUGGUUGUCGUCAGCUCGUGUCGUGAGAUGUUGGGUUAAGUCCCGCAACGAGCGCAACCCUUAAGCUUAGUUGCCAUCAUUAAGUUGGGCACUCUAAGUUGACUGCCGGUGACAAACCGGAGGAAGGUGGGGAUGACGUCAAAUCAUCAUGCCCCUUAUGAUUUGGGCUACACACGUGCUACAAUGGACAAUACAAAGGGCAGCGAAACCGCGAGGUCAAGCAAAUCCCAUAAAGUUGUUCUCAGUUCGGAUUGUAGUCUGCAACUCGACUACAUGAAGCUGGAAUCGCUAGUAAUCGUAGAUCAGCAUGCUACGGUGAAUACGUUCCCGGGUCU
rnacentral:rRNA from 1 species